rnacentral:rRNA from 1 species
UACGUAGGCAGCAAGCGUUGUUCGGAGUUACUGGGCGUAAAGGGUGUGUAGGCGGUUCUUUAAGUUUGGUGUGAAAUCUCCCGGCUCAACUGGGAGGGUGCGCCGAAUACUGAGGGACUAGAGUACGGGAGAGGAAAGUGGAAUUCCUGGUGUAGCGGUGAAAUGCGUAGAGAUGCGGAGGAACACCAGUGGCGAAAGCGACUUUCUGGUCCUUAACUGACGCUGAGGCGCGAAAGCGUGGGGAGCAAACGGG